CGUGUGUUAGUGGAACGGUCUGGAAAGUCCGGCGGUACAGGGUGAUAGCCCCGUACACUAAAAUGCACACGUUGUGAACUCGAAGAGUAGGGCGGGACACGUGGUAUCCUGUCUGAAUAUGGGGGGACCAUCCUCCAAGGCUAAAUACUCCUGACUGACCGAUAGUGAACCAGUACCGUGAGGGAAAGGCGAAAAGAACCCCGGCGAGGGGAGUGAAAAAGAACCUGAAACCGUGUACGUACAAGCAGUGGGAGCCUCUUUAUGGGGUGACUGCGUACCUUUUGUAUAAUGGGUCAGCGACUUAUAUUCUGUAGCAAGGUUAACCGUAUAGGGGAGCCGCAGGGAAACCGAGUCUUAACUGGGCGUUAAGUUGCAGGGUAUAGACCCGAAACCCGGUGAUCUAGCCAUGGGCAGGUUGAAGGUUGGGUAACACUAACUGGAGGACCGAACCGACUAAUGUUGAAAAAUUAGCGGAUGACUUGUGGCUGGGGGUGAAAGGCCAAUCAAACCGGGAGAUAGCUGGUUCUCCCCGAAAGCUAUUUAGGUAGCGCCUCGUGAACUCAUCUUCGGGGGUAGAGCACUGUUUCGGCUAGGGGGUCAUCCCGACUUACCAACCCGAUGCAAACUACGAAUACCGAAGAAUGUUAUCACGGGAGACACACGGCGGGUGCUAACGUCCGUCGUGAAGAGGGAAACAACCCAGACCGCCAGCUAAGGUCCCAAAGUCAUGGUUAAGUGGGAAACGAUGUGGGAAGGCACAGACAGCCAGGAUGUUGGCUUAGAAGCAGCCAUCAUUUAAAGAAAGCGUAAUAGCUCACUGGUCGAGUCGGCCUGCGCGGAAGAUGUAACGGGGCUAAACCAUGCACCGAAGCUGCGGCAGCGACACUAUGUGUUGUUGGGUAGGGGAGCGUUCUGUAAGCCGUUGAAGGUGGCCUGUGAGGGUUGCUGGAGGUAUCAGAAGUGCGAAUGCUGACAUAAGUAACGAUAAAGCGGGUGAAAAGCCCGCUCGCCGGAAGACCAAGGGUUCCUGUCCAACGUUAAUCGGGGCAGGGUGAGUCGACCCCUAAGGCGAGGCCGAAAGGCGUAGUCGAUGGGAAACAGGUUAAUAUUCCUGUACUCGGUGUUACUGCGAAGGGGGGACGGAGAAGGCUAUGUUAGCCGGGCGACGGUUGUCCCGGUUUAAGCAUGUAGGCGGAACGAUU
rnacentral:rRNA from 1 species